UUACGGCCAUAUCAUGUUGAAACACCGGUUCUCGUAUGAUCACGGAAGUAAAAUAACGUAUAGCCUGGUCAGUACCUUGAUGAGUGACCGUUUUGGAAUUUCACGUGCCGUAAG